UCCUUCCUAACAUUUUCUCUCUGGUUGACAGGAAGCGUCGCCACAGUGGUUCGCCCAGUCCGACGCGGAACAGCAGACGAGGUCGAUCAGCUUCUCCCCGUUCAGAACGAUCGGAAAGAUCUGAACGCUCCGAGCGCUCGUACUCUAAAGACACGUCGUCCCGGUCCACCCAUAAAGACUCGCCACGAUCCAGCAUCAAGAAGUCCACAAAGAGAUCUCCCUCACCUCGCACACCCAAACGAUCCAGACGGUCGCGCUCAAAGACGCCCAAAAAAUCCACCAAGAAGUCCCGCUCCAAAUCUAGGUCCCCUCACCGGUCCCAC